GACGAACGCUGGCGGCGUGCUUAACACAUGCAAGUCGAACGAAGUGGCGAACGGGUGAGUAACGCGUAAUCAACCUGCACUUCAGAGGGGGAUAACAGUUGGAAACGACUGCUAAUACCGCAUACGGAAGGAGGGGAUUGCGUCUGAUUGGCGAGUUGGAGGGGUAACGGCCCACCAAAGCGAUGAUCAGUAGCCGGUCGUAGAGGAUGAACGGCCACAUUGGGACUUAGGCAAGGCCCAGACUCCUACGGGAGGCAGCAGUGGGGAAUCUUCCGAAAUGGACGAAAGUCUGACGGAGCAACGCCGCGUGAGUGAUGACGGCCUUCGGGUUGUAAAGCUCUGUUAAUCGGGACGCGGUACCGGAAUAGAAAGCCACGGCUAACUACGUGCCAGCAGCCGCGGUAAUUC
rnacentral:rRNA from 1 species